rnacentral:tRNA from 1 species
UAAUAGUUAGUUUAUAGGAACAAUGCAAUUUGAAUGCAAAAGAGGAAGUGCAAUUCUUCCACUAUUAA